AGAGUUUGAUCCUGGCUCAGAACGUACGCUGGCGGCACGCCUUAUACAUGCAAGUCGAACGAAGUAGCAAUACUUAGUGGCAGACGGGUGAGUAACAUGUAGGUAUCUACCCUUUGGUGAGGAAUAACACGAGGAAACUUGUGCUAAUACCUCAUAAGUCUUUACGGAGAAAGCUUUAUGCGCCGAAGGAUGAGCCUGCACUUGAUUAGUUUGUUGGUGGGGUAAUGGCCUACCAAGACUUUGAUCUAUAGCUGAUCUGAGAGGAUGAUCAGCCACAUUGGGACUGAGACACGGCCCAAACUCCUACGGGAGGCAGCAGUAGGGAAUAUUGCACAAUGGAGGAAACUCUGAUGCAGCGAUGCCGCGUGAGUGAAGAAGGCCUUUGGGUUGUAAAGCUCUUUCGUCGGGGAAGAAAAUGACUGUACCCGAAUAAGAAGGUCCGGCUAACUUCGUGCCAGCCGCCGCGGUAAUAC
rnacentral:rRNA from 1 species